rnacentral:rRNA from 1 species
CCUACGGGAGGCAGCAGUGAGGAAUAUUGGUCAAUGGACGAGAGUCUGAACCAGCCAAGUAGCGUGAAGGAUGACUGCCCUAUGGGUUGUAAACUUCUUUUAUAUGGGAAUAAAACGUUCCACGUGUGGGAUUUUGUAUGUACCAUAUGAAUAAGGCUCGGCUAACUCCGUGCCAGCAGCCGCGGUAAUACGGAGGAUCCGAGCGUUAUCCGGAUUUAUUGGGUUUAAAGGGAGCGUAGGUGGAUUGUUAAGUCAGUUGUGAAAGUUUGCGGCUCAACCGUAAAAUUGCAGUUGAAACUGGCAGUCUUGAGUACAGUAGAGGUGGGCGGAAGUCGUGGUGUAGCGGUGAAAUGCUUAGAUAUCACGAAGAACUCCGAUUGCGAAGGCAGUUCACUGGACUGCAACUGACACUGAGGCUCGAAAGUGUGGGUAUCAAACAGGAUUAGAUACCCUUGUAGUC